AGUGAACGCUGGCGGUAGGCCUAACACAUGCAAGUCGAACGGCAGCACAGUAAUAGCUUGCUCUUACGGGUGGCGAGUGGCGGACGGGUGAGGAAUACAUCGGAAUCUACUUUUUCGUGGGGGAUAACGUAGGGAAACUUACGCUAAUACCGCAUACCACCUACGGGUGAAAGCAGUGGAUCUUCGGACCUUGCGCGAUUGAAUGAGCCGAUGUCGGAUUAGCUAGUUGGCGGGGUAAAGGCCCACCAAGGCGACGAUCCGUAGCUGGUCUGAGAGGAUGAUCAGCCACACUGGAACUGAGACACGGUCCAGACUCCUACGGGAGGCAGCAGUGGGGAAUAUUGGACAAUGGGCGCAAGCCUGAUACAGCCAUACCGCGUGGGUGAAGAAGGCCUUCGGGUUGUAAAGCCCUUUUGUUGGGAAAGAAAAGCAGCAGGUUAAUACCCCGCUGUUCUGACGGUACCCAAAGAAUAAGCACCGGCUAACUUCGUG
rnacentral:rRNA from 1 species